UUGCCCCUACCGUGUCCGUGAUUGGGAGUUAUUCUUUGACCCAACAGCUAUCUUUUGGGAGCCUUCGCUGGUUUCGGUGUGCAUGUUCUGCUGGUUCAGAAAAGCCUGAUGAGACUAAGAGGUACCCACUUUGAACCCAAGGUUCAAAGACCUGCCAACACGGCAUUUUGGUGGGGGUUUU
rnacentral:other from 1 species